AGCUCAGUUGGUAGAGCAGCGGACUGAAAAUCCGCGUGUCGGCAGUUCAAUUCUGUCC
rnacentral:tRNA from 1 species